rnacentral:tRNA from 1 species
UUUAAUAUGGCAGAAUAGUGCAUUGGAUUUAAACCCCAAUCAUAAAGAUUUAUUUUCUUUUAUUAAAA